GUUGAUUAGAAAUCAGUUACUUCUUUGAGAUCCUUUCAGGUUUCACAGACAGAGGCCAGUUAGUAGGUCUGAUGCUGAAUCAGGACUCUCAGAGCAUGAAAAUCUUUAGAUUUAGGGCACUUUUUAUGAUUGCAAUAGUUGAUUCAAACAUUGGAAUUAGUUAAAGAAAGAUAAAAUCAUAUCCAAAGAAAAUGAAAUAUAAAAGUAAAAAAAGUGGACAAGAAAAAAUAUUUAGAAGGGCAAACAGUUUUUGAAGAUCCAGAGAGUGAUGAGAAGCAGAUACAUAAUGUUUUAUGCUGUAUGCAUUAAAGCUAAUGGGAGGGGGUGUGGGUAUGCCUAUUCAUAAGAAUAAUGUGGUAAUAGUCCAAUGAAACUUCUGCUUUCUCUGAUACCACAGAUCUGAGAUUUGAGAUCUGAUACCACAAAUGCCUUAAUGUGGCUGGCAUUCAUGAGAAGGUAUGCAACUAUUGUUGAAAUAUGAAGAACUCAGAAUGUCAAGAGAGAAGAGGCAUGGAACAGUUCUGGGAACACAGCACUGAUAAAACUCUUAGGGAUGAAUUUACCUAUACCUGUGUUUCAGCCUUGUGAUCUGGGUUUGGCACGAUGAAAUGCUACUUUCAGAAAGAUGAGUAUGUCAGAAUCCCUGGUGAUUUCUAACGCUUAUGGAACACAUCACAUAGGAGCAAUUUAGAUGACAAAAAAGAGCACUCUUCAGUCUGGAUUUACACUGUGUUCCUAUUCACCGACACAUCAGCAAACAUUAUAAA
rnacentral:lncRNA from 1 species